GGUGGGUUGGCUUAUUGGUUAGAGCGUAGGUCUCGUAAUCGAAGGUCGCGGGAUCGAAUCCUGCUAGAGGCUG
rnacentral:tRNA from 1 species